rnacentral:rRNA from 1 species
AACGAACGCUGGCGGCAGGCCUAACACAUGCAAGUCGAACGGAUCCUUCGGGAUUAGUGGCGGACGGGUGAGUAACGCGUGGGAACGUGCCCUUUGGUUCGGAACAACUCAGGGAAACUUGAGCUAAUACCGGAUGUGCCCUUCGGGGGAAAGAUUUAUCGCCAUUGGAGCGGCCCGCGUCUGAUUAGCUAGUUGGUGAGGUAAAGGCUCACCAAGGCGACGAUCAGUAGCUGGUCUGAGAGGAUGAUCAGCCACAUUGGGACUGAGACACGGCCCAAACUCCUACGGGAGGCAGCAGUGGGGAAUCUUGCGCAAUGGGCGAAAGCCUGACGCAGCCAUGCCGCGUGAAUGAUGAAGGUCUUAGGAUUGUAAAAUUCUUUCACCGGGGACGAUAAUGACGGUACCCGGAGAAGAAGCCCCGGCUAACUUCGUGCCAGCCGCCGCAGUAA